rnacentral:lncRNA from 10 species
AUGGAACCCAGUCUACAUAAAGCUGAUAUUUAAAAAUUUGGUUGGACUUCUUUUGUGACCCAGCACAUGACGAAGAAUCCAAAGACCAGGGACAGUAAGUAAUUUGCUCACCUGGUUUGCCAGCCUCCAUGACACAUCGCCGUCCAGUUCUGCCUUUAAUUACCAAAGCACAACACGCUGCUUUGAUUCCCCUCUCCUCGGCGCCAGAAUUCAAGAGUGAAGUUAAACCGCAAGGGCUGAGUUAGAAGAUUGGCCUCAGUUCCCUGUUCCCACCAGCAGGUGGCACCGUCUCCUAGCGGAAUUCUUACUUGAACGUUUUGCUUCCAUUUCUG